rnacentral:rRNA from 1 species
GCAUGCGCGCUAUACAUGCAGUCGAGCGAUGGAUUGAGAGCUUGCUCUCAAGAAGUUAGCGGCGGACGGGUGAGUAACACGUGGGUAACCUGCCCAUAAGACUGGGAUAACUCCGGGAAACCGGGGCUAAUACCGGAUAACAUUUUGAACUGCAUGGUUCGAAAUUGAAAGGCGGCUUCGGCUGUCACUUAUGGAUGGACCCGCGUCGCAUUAGCUAGUUGGUGAGGUAACGGCUCACCAAGGCAACGAUGCGUAGCCGACCUGAGAGGGUGAUCGGCCACACUGGGACUGUGACACGGCCCAGACUCCUACGGGAGGCAGCAGUAGGGAAUCUUCCGCAAUGGACGAAAGUCUGACGGAGCAACGCCGCGUGAGUGAUGAAGGCCUUCGGGUCGUAAAACUCUGUUGUUAGGGAAGAACAAGUGCUAGUUGAAUAAGCUGGCACCUUGACGGUACCUAACCAGAAAGCCACGGCUAACUACGUGCCAGCAGCCGCGGUAAUACGUAGGUGGCAAGCGUUAUCCGGAAUUAUUGGGCGUAAAGCGCGCGCAGGUGGUUUCUUAAGUCUGAUGUGAAAGCCCACGGCUCAACCGUGGAGGGUCAUUGGAAACUGGGAGACUUGAGUGCAGAAGAGGAAAGUGGAAUUCCAUGUGUAGCGGUGAAAUGCGUAGAGAUAUGGAGGAACACCAGUGGCGAAGGCGACUUUCUGGUCUGUAACUGACACUGAGGCGCGAAAGCGUGGGGAGCAAACAGGAUUAGAUACCCUGGUAGUCCACGCCGUAAACGAUGAGUGCUAAGUGUUAGAGGGUUUCCGCCCUUUAGUGCUGAAGUUAACGCAUUAAGCACUCCGCCUGGGGAGUACGGCCGCAAGGCUGAAACUCAAAGGAAUUGACGG